AGUUGCAGGGUAUAGACCCGAAACCCGGUGAUCUAGCCAUGGGCAGGUUGAAGGUUGGGUAACACUAACUGGAGGACCGAACCGACUAAUGUUGAAAAAUUAGCGGAUGACUUGUGGCUGGGGGUGAAAGGCCAAUCAAACCGGGAGAUAGCUGGUUCUCCCCGAAAGCUAUUUAGGUAGCGCCUCGUGAAUUCAUCUCCGGGGGUAGAGCACUGUUUCGGCAAGGGGGUCAUCCCGACUUACCAACCCGAUGCAAACUGCGAAUACCGGAGAAUGUUAUCACGGGAGACACACGGCGGGUGCUAACGUCCGUCGUGAAGAGGGAAACAACCCAGACCGCCAGCUAAGGUCCCAAAGUCAUGGUUAAGUGGGAAACGAUGUGGGAAGGCCCAGACAGCCAGGAUGUUGGCUUAGAAGCAGCCAUCAUUUAAAGAAAGCGUAAUAGCUCACUGGUCGAGUCGGCCUGCGCGGAAGAUGUAACGGGGCUAAACCAUGCACCGAAGCUGCGGCAGCGACACUAUGUGUUGUUGGGUAGGGGAGCGUUCUGUAAGCCUGUGAAGGUGGCCUGUGAGGGUUGCUGGAGGUAUCAGAAGUGCGAAUGCUGACAUAAGUAACGAUAAAGCGGGUGAAAAGCCCGCUCGCCGGAAGACCAAGGGUUCCUGUCCAACGUUAAUCGGGGCAGGGUGAGUCGACCCCUAAGGCGAGGCCGAAAGGCGUAGUCGAUGGGAAACAGGUUAAUAUUCCUGUACUUGGUGUUACUGCGAAGGGGGGACGGAGAAGGCUAUGUUGGCCGGGCGACGGUUGUCCCGGUUUAAGCGUGUAGGCUGGUUUUCCAGGCAAAUCCGGAAAACCAAGGCUGAGGCGUGAUGACGAGGCACUACGGUGCUGAAGCGACAAAUGCCCUGCUUCCAGGAAAAGCCUCUAAGCAUCAGGUAACAUCAAAUCGUACCCCAAACCGACACAGGUGGUCAGGUAGAGAAUACCAAGGCGCUUGAGAGAACUCGGGUGAAGGAACUAGGCAAAAUGGUGCCGUAACUUCGGGAGAAGGCACGCUGAUAUGUAGGUGAAGCGACUUGCUCGUGGAGCUGAAAUCAGUCGAAGAUACCAGCUGGCUGCAACUGUUUAUUAAAAACACAGCACUGUGCAAACACGAAAGUGGACGUAUACGGUGUGACGCCUGCCCGGUGCCGGAAGGUUAAUUGAUGGGGUUAGCGGUAACGCGAAGCUCUUGAUCGAAGCCCCGGUAAACGGCGGCCGUAACUAUAACGGUCCUAAGGUAGCGAAAUUCCUUGUCGGGUAAGUUCCGACCUGCACGAAUGGCGUAAUGAUGGCCAGGCUGUCUCCAC
rnacentral:rRNA from 1 species